AUUGAACGCUAGCGGGAUGCCUUACACAUGCAAGUCGAACGGAGUGGCGAACGGGUGAGUAAUGUAUCGGAACGUGCCCAGUAGCGGGGGAUAACUACGCUAAAGCGUAGCUAAUACCGCAUACUCUUGGCGCGGCCGAUAUCGGAUUAGCUAGUUGGUGGGGUAACGGCUCACCAGGGCGACGAUCCGUAGCUGGUUUGAGAGGACGACCAUCCAAACGGGGAAGGAGACACGGCCCAGACUCCUACGGGAGGCAGCAGUGGGGAAUGUGGGACAAGUGGGGAAACCCUGAUCAAGCCAUCCCGCGUGUGCGAUGAAGGCCUUCGGGUUGUAAAGCACUUUUGGCAGGAAAGCGGUACCUGCAGAAUAAGCACCGGCUAACUACGUGCCAGCAGCCGCGGUAAUUC
rnacentral:rRNA from 1 species